rnacentral:rRNA from 1 species
GACGAACGCUGGCGGCGUGCUUAACACAUGCAAGUCGAACGGAAAGGCCCUGCUUUUGUGGGGUGCUCGAGUGGCGAACGGGUGAGUAACACGUGAGUAACCUGCCCUUGACUUUGGGAUAACUUCAGGAAACUGGGGCUAAUACCGGAUAGGAACUCCUGCUGCAUGGUGGGGGUUGGAAAGUUUCGGCGGUUGGGGAUGGACUCGCGGCUUAUCAGCUUGUUGGUGGGGUAGUGGCUUACCAAGGCUUUGACGGGUAGCCGGCCUGAGAGGGUGACCGGCCACAUUGGGACUGAGAUGCGGCCCAGACUCAUACGGGAGGCAGCAGUGGGGAGUAUUGGAGAAUGGGCGGAAGCCUGAUGCAGCAACGCGGCGUGGGGGAUGACGGCCUGCGGGUUGUAACCCGCUUUCGCCUGUGACGAAGCGUGGGUGACGGUAAUGGGUAAAGAAGCACCGGAUAACUACGUG